AACGAACGCUGGCGGCAUGCCUAACACAUGCAAGUCGAACGAGACCUUCGGGUCUAGUGGCGCACGGGUGCGUAACGCGUGGGAACCUGCCCUUAGGUUCGGAAUAACUCCCCGAAAGGGGUGCUAAUACCGGAUAAUGUCUUCGGACCAAAGAUUUAUCGCCUUUGGAUGGGCCCGCGUUGGAUUCGCUAGUUGGUAGGGUAAAAGCCUACCAAGGCGACGAUCCAUAGCUGGUCUGAGAGGAUGAUCAGCCACACUGGGACUGAGACACGGCCCAGACUGCUACGGGAGGGAGCAGUGGGGAAUAUUGGACAAGGGGCGAAAGCCUGAUCCAGCAAUGCCGCGUGAGUGAUGAAGGCCUUAGGGUUGUAAAGCUCUUUUACCCGGGAUGAUAAUGACAGUACCGGGAGAAUAAGCUCCGGCUAACUCCGUG
rnacentral:rRNA from 1 species